GACGAACGCUGGCGGCGUGCUUAACACAUGCAAGUCGAACGAGUGACGAACGGGUGAGUAAUACGUGGGUAACCUGCCCUCUGUUUAGGUUAACCCUUGGAAACGGGGUCUAAUACCGAAUACAGGGGGAUGGGCUCGCGGCCUAUGAGCUGGUUGGGGGGGUGUUGGCCUACCAAGGCGGUGACGGGUAGCGGGCCUGCGAGGGUGACCGGACACAUGGGGACUCCGAUACGGCCCAGAGACCUACGGGAGGCGGCAGUGGGGGAUAUUGCACAAUGGGCGAAAGCCUAAUGCAGGGACGCCGCGUGGGGGUUGAAGGCUUUCGGGUUUUAAACCUCUUUCGCAAUCGAACCGGUAGGUGGAGAAGAAGCGCCGGCUAACUACGUGCCAGCAGCCGCGGUAAUAC
rnacentral:rRNA from 1 species